AUUGAACGCUGGCGGCAGGCCUAACACAUGCAAGUCGAACGCGUGGCGGACGGGUGAGUAAUGUCUGGGAAACUUCCUGAUGGAGGGGGAUAACUACUGGAAACGGUAGCUAAUACCGCAUACCCUCGGAUGUGCCCAGAUGGGAUUAGCUAGUAGGUGGGGUAACGGCUCACCUAGGCGACGAUCCCUAGCUGGUCUGAGAGGAUGACCAGCCACACUGGAACUGAGACACGGUCCAGACUCCUACGGGAGGCAGCAGUGGGGAAUAUUGCACAAUGGGCGCAAGCCUGAUGCAGCCAUGCCGCGUGUGUGAAGAAGGCCUUCGGGUUGUAAAGCACUUUCAGCGGGGAGGCGUUAACCGCAGAAGAAGCACCGGCUAACUCCGUGCCAGCAGCCGCGGUAAUAC
rnacentral:rRNA from 1 species